rnacentral:rRNA from 1 species
AGUGAACGCUGGCGGUAGGCCUAACACAUGCAAGUCGAACGGCAGCACAGUAAGAGCUUGCUCUUACGGGUGGCGAGUGGCGGACGGGUGAGGAAUACAUCGGAAUCUACUUUUUCGUGGGGGAUAACGUAGGGAAACUUACGCUAAUACCGCAUACGACCUACGGGUGAAAGCAGGGGAUCUUCGGACCUUGCGCGAUUGAAUGAGCCGAUGUCGGAUUAGCUAGUUGGCGGGGUAAAGGCCCACCAAGGCGACGAUCCGUAGCUGGUCUGAGAGGAUGAUCAGCCCCACUGGAACUGAGACACGGUCCAGACUCCUACGGGAGGCAGCAGUGGGGAAUAUUGGACAAUGGGCGCAAGCCUGAUCCAGCCAUACCGCGUGGGUGAAGAAGGCCUUCGGGUUGUAAAGCCCUUUUGUUGGGAAAGAAAAGCAGCAGGUUAAUACCCCGCUGUCCUGACGGUACCCAAAGAACAAGCACCGGCUAACUUCGUG